rnacentral:rRNA from 1 species
CCAGCAGCUGCGGUAAUUCCGGCUCUAAUAGCAUAUAUUAAAGUUGUUGCAGUUAAAAAGCUCGUAGUCGGAUUUUGGGCGCGUGUGAACUGUCAGCCUCUGGUUGGACGGUGCGCGCGUGCCUUUCUGCUUGGGAGCCCCAUGGUGGUUAAUUCUGCUGUGGUGGGACGCAGGCCGUUUACUUUGAAAAAAUUAGAGUGUUCAAAGCAGGCCUACGCUUGAAUACAUUAGCAUGGAAUAAUGGAAUAGGACUUUGGUCUUAUUUGUUGGUUUAUGGGACCGAAGUAAUGAUUAACAGGGACAGUUGGGGCCGUUUAUAUUUCGUUGUCAGAGGUGAAAUUCUUGGAUUUACGAAAGAUAAACUUCUGCGAAAGCAUUCGGCAAGGAUGUUUUCA